UGCAUUUUUACCUAGGUGGAGAAAUGAGCUAGAAUCUAAAUAGUAGAUGUCUAAGCAUCGUGAUGUGAAGAAUCUAGAGCCUGACUGAUUCAGUCACCACUGAAGCUCCACCAGUGCUGAGUCACCAUUUCUUACAUAAAUCAGCACAGUGGACAUCCUUUGACUCACCCGGUGGCAUGUCACAGCACAGGACUUGUCCUUAGAACAUGUCUAGGCAACUGGACUGAUAUCUGUUUUGUUUCCUUUUCCUUCUACCCUGAAUGCCAAACUGGAGCAAAACAUGCUGAACAGAUUACUCCAAUAACAACAAGAUGGGUCAGGAACCAUGAACUAUGAACUGUUGCCAACUAAUCUAUCAUCCUGGUAUGAAAUGCUAUCAUUGGGUCUCCAACAUGGCAGGGUUAAGAAGAAAUUUCCUCCCAUCUCCCAUGGAGACGACAACCCAGAGCCUGACCAGUGUCUGGAGUGAGGGUCCUGCCUGCGUUCCUGGGAAUCUGAACCUGUGUUUGAGGCAGUAAGAUCUUUCUGUACCUGAGCACUGACACAUGAUCAACGCCAAUGUUAGUGACUGCAGAAGAAGACAUUUCAUGCUAAUCAUCUUCCAUCAAAUGCGGGCGACCAGGUCAUUUGGUACUCAUUGCUCUGAAAAUGUUCAUCAAACAUUGUAAUUUGUUUUCAUGUAACCAACAUCAGCUCAGGUCAAACUUAGACCUUUUUCUAAACCUUUGGUUGGGAAAUGGUUUCCUGAUUUCUGUGAACUACAACCUGAGGGCUCGUUUAAGCAAAUGGAGUGAUGCAGUUGAGUUUUGGCUAAAGAAUUGUGAAAACUGAAAUGCAUGGAUUCUGUUUCUUAGAAGUCAGGUGGAGUGAGAUAGAAAACCCAGGCUUCCCGUCUUAUUCACAGCUGCUACAUUUUACACUCCAGCCUGCUUCAAAAUGUAGGCUUACAUAAAUCUUCGUUUGGUGCAUUCAAUAGUCUAGGAUCGCUGUUUGGCCAUUAGUGUCUUUUAAAAAUUCAGUUCAUGUGUUUAAAGCCCAGACUCAAGUAUACUUUGCUAAAUUUUAUUUAAAAUUAAGAUUUUAAAACACAAUAUACUCUUAUAUUUCAGCAUUACAUUUCUUCCUCAAGCAGUAAAAAUGUCUGAAUAAAAAUAAAAGAUUAGGUUUAGUGAAGCUGAUUGUGGGUUAAGAGUUCCAUCUAGUGGUCAGUUCAGGAAGUUCAUUUAACUACUAAGUAAAUAUGAUAGAUGUCUUUUUUGCUUCCAUAUUACAAAGUGGUGCAUUUGAUCUUGAACUUACUCAUAAUCUGGUUCUGUAUCUACAUAUAUGACAUAUUAUGGGAUGCGAGGAAGCUAUAUUUGGAAUAUGUUGCUCUCAGCAAAUGGCAUGGGGCCAUCAUGUUGAACACAAACAAGGAAAACAUAAAAGACAGGAGCCCAAGGCUUUCCCUCUUGUACGUAAACUUUUCCUGAGUUUUCUUUUGACAUAAUUAAUUAAUAGUAUCAAACCAAACUCCCACAGAAAUAGCAAACAAAAUAGAACUCCCCCACCCCCUAUGUGUGUAGAGAUGGGCUUGGAUACAGGAAAAUAACUCAUUUAACUAUCCUCUCAGAGUCUCUUUCCUCAUGACCAGUGUUCACAAUGAACGCAAGCAGAAGGGAGGCUUCGUCAACCCCUCAGGAGAGCUCUCUAGUCACUGGCUAGAGGAACUGAUGAUGUAGUUCCAAUCUCACCCAUUUUCUGUUGAGCCUCCAUCCACCAGAGUCUGCUGGAGCUCUUCCAGCAUGGCCAUCAUGGAUUUCCCUUCUCCCUUCUGAGGACCGCUCACCUCUGUGGGUUGCGCCUCAUGUCACUCUCACAGCAUAUCUGUCCUGUUGCCAUGUGAACUUCAUACGGAAAGCUAGAGUCCCAUUAAGUUUUAGGGAAUGUUUCUUUCCAAAUGACCCGGGUUUCCAUUUCCCACGUCACUGUUUCCUGACUUCGGUAAAACAGUUUAUGACAAUAACACAACUCAGGAUUGAGGAGAGCGGUUCGUUAUUCUCUGCGUGUCGAAAUCAAGUGUAAGGCUCGGAGAGAAGAUUUAGGUCUCUUCCUCAAUUGUUCUUUCUUUAGGAAGGACCCAAGAUUACUUCUGGGAGACUCUGUCUUCACAAAAACUGUCCUGAGUGUUGUAAUUUGAGAAAGCAGCAGGUUUUUGACAUAACUCUGCUCAUUAUAGAUCACAAGACUUGAAAACUAUGGACGUUCAUAAGCAGACAGAGUAGAAGACUGUAGUUAAAGAUAAAGCAAAUGAGGGUGAAAGAUUUGCAGUAUUGUACUGGGGGCGUUGCUCGGUUGGUAAGGAGCUUGCCUAGCAGCCAAAGGCCAGUUUUGGCCUUGGAAACACAUAAACUGGUUAUGAUGGCACAGGCCUGUCAUCCCAGCUCAUGGAAGCUAGUCACAGAACAAUCAGAAGCUUAAGGUCAUCUUCAGCUGCACAGUGGGUUCAAGACCACGUGAGUUUCUGUCUCAAAAACAAACAGAAAUACAGUGAUUUCUGAGCAUUAACUUUGUCCCUUAGCCAUAUGUUAAACAUGUUCCAAAGCUGCAUUUUUCAUAAUAAUCUGAAUCACACAAAUCAGGCUACUAAUGAGCCUAGUUAGCAGAGUAGGAAACUGAGGCACAAGGUCCUUGUAAACACAGCCAAUGUCACAAUGCUAAAACACAGCAGUAGAAGAUUUGAAUCCAGGGUCCUUCUCCAAUGAGCAGUCAUGUUCUUGGAC
rnacentral:lncRNA from 1 species